rnacentral:rRNA from 1 species
CGUAGGGUGCGAGCGUUAAUCGGAAUUACUGGGCGUAAAGCGUGCGCAGGCGGUUUUGUAAGACAGAUGUGAAAUCCCCGGGCUCAACCUGGGACCUGCAUUUGUGACUGCAAGGCUAGAGUACGGUAGAGGGGGAUGGAAUUCCGCGUGUAGCAGUGAAAUGCGUAGAUAUGCGGAGGAACACCGAUGGCGAAGGCAAUCCCCUGGACCUGUACUGACGCUCAUGCACGAAAGCGUGGGGAGCAAACAGGAUUAGAUACCCUGGUAGUCCACGCCCUAAACGAUGUCAACUGGUUGUUGGGUCUUUACUGACUCAGUAACGAAGCUAACGCGUGAAGUUGACCGCCUUGGGGAGUACGGCCGCAAGGUUG